CACAGUCAUCAGAGUCCAAUUUACUCUUCAGGGGCCCUAAUCAUUCUAUACCUGAACUGGACAGAAAGAAAAUAAUUUGUUCACUUAACAGAAAGAAAGUCUAUACUCCCAAAACAAAAUGAGUCAGACAGUGAUCUUUGAAUUAACAGGCUCUGCUGACGGACUAUUUUCCCCACUUUUCAUCAGUCUGGUGACAGUGGACUCUGGACAGAGAUAAAUGAGAGGUCAAGCUACCCUUCAUUUUUCCAGAGGAUUAUUUCACCCACAGAUAAGGCACGAAGAAGGAAGUAAUAGUCAAGACCAGCCUGUGAGAAAACAACAAAAAAAGGAUAACUAACAAAAGCCCCAUUCUCCAGCUCUUGCCCCGGCCAGCGCUUCAGCACGCUGGUGCUCUCUUGAAAGUGCCACCUCCUGGCUGGAGGCCAACCAACUCAAGCCAU
rnacentral:lncRNA from 1 species